rnacentral:lncRNA from 1 species
CCCGGUAAACCACGCCCCCAAGUCGGGAGGCCACGCCCCCGAACCGGGAAGCCACGCCCCCAACUCCGGAGGCCCCGCCCCCCGCUGGGGAUUCGCCCAGCGCCGCCCCCCCGCCCUUGGCCCCGCCCCCGGCCCCUCCCCCCGGCUCCUGGAGAGGGUUUUUGGGAAGGGGGAGGGGCGGUGAGGGUUUGGGGCAAAAAGGGGCAAGGUUGGGCGGAAAUAAAUAUUUUGUAUUUUACCGAAAUGCCCCUCUUUUUGGGUGUUUUUUAAAGGAGUUGUGGAAGGGAGUGCUCAAGAAUAACCCUAAAAUGACCCAAAUAUGACCAAAAUGACCGAAAAAUGACCCAAAAAUGACCAAAAUAUGACCAAAAUACCCCAAAUGACCCAAAAAUGACCACAAUGACCCCAAAAUGACCAAAAUAACCCCCAAAUGACCCAAAUAUGACCAAAAUGACCCAAGUAUGACCAAAAUGACCCCCCAAUUAUGACCAACAUGACCCAAAAAUGACCCAACAAUGACCAAAAUGACCCAACAAUGACCGUAUANNNNNNNNNNACCUGAAUAUGACCAAAAUGACCCAAAAUGACCAAAAUGACCCAGAAAUGACCCAAAUGACCCAAAAACGACCCAAAUGACCCCAAAAUGACCGAAAUGACCCAAAAAUGACCAAAAAUGGCCCAAAUAUGACCAAAAUGACCCAAAUAUGACCGAAAUGACCCCAAAACGACCAAAAUGACCCCAAAAUGACCCAAAUGACCCAAAAAUUAACCAAAAAUGACCAAAAUGACCCCAAAAUGAUCAAAAUGAACAAGAAAUGACCCAAAAAUGAACCAAAAAGGACCCAAAAGUCCCCCCCCAAGAAAUGACCCAAACUCUCCGUUUUUCUCCUUAAAACUUUUAAUACAUUAAAAAAAAUAGAUCCGGGGGGGGAGGGGAGGGGGGGGGUAUGACCCAAGUAUGACGAAAAUGACCCCCAAAAAUGACCCAAAGAUGACCAAAAUGACCCAAGUAUGACCAAAACGACCCAAAUAUGACCAGAAUGACCCAAACUGACCCCAAAAUGAACAAAAUGACCCCCAAAAAUGACCCAAAAUGACCCCAAAUGACCAAAAAUGACCCAAAUACGGCCAAAAUGACCCAAGUAUGACCAAAAUGACCUCAAAAUGACCCAAAAAUGACCAAAAUGACCCAAAAUGACCCAAAAACGACCCAAAAGACCCCCCCAAGAAACGACCCAAACUCGCCGUUUUUCUCCUUAAAACUUUUAAUACAUUAAAAAAAAUAGAUCCGGGGGGGGGGG